UACGUAGGGGGCUAGCGUUGUCCGGAUUUAUUGGGCGUAAAGAGCGUGUAGGCGGCCAUGUAGGUCUGGUGUGAAAACUCGAGGCUUAACCUCGAGAUGUCAUCGGAAACCAUUUGGCUAGAGUCCGGAAGAGGAGAGUGGAAUUCCUGGUGUAGCGGUGAAAUGCGCAGAUAUCAGGAAGAACACCAAUGGCGAAAGCAGCUCUCUGGGACGGUACUGACGCUGAGACGCGAAAGCGUGGGGAGCGAACAGG
rnacentral:rRNA from 1 species